rnacentral:rRNA from 1 species
GACGAACGCUGGCGGCGCGCUUAACACAUGCAAGUCGAGCGAGAACCUGGGCUUCGGCCCUGGGGACAGCGGCGAACGGGUGAGUAACACGUGGGUAAUCUGCCCUUGACAUCGGGAUAGCCCGGGGAAACCCGGAUUAAUACCGAAUAGCCUCCGGAGCCUUCGGGCGCCGGAGAAAAGGUAGCUUCGGCCUCUGGUCGAGGAUGAGCCCGCGGCGGAUUAGCUUGUGGGCGGGGUAACGGCCCACCAAGGCGACGAGCCGUAGCUGGUCUGAGAGGACGAUCCGCCACACUAGGCCUGGGACACGGCCCAGACUCCUACGGGAGGCAGCAGUGGGGAAUCUGGCGCCAAUGCGGGAAGCCGUGACGCAGAGACGCCGCGUGGGGGAAGAAGGCCUUCGGGUUGUAAACCUCUUUCAGGAGGGACGAAGCCACUCGGGUGAAUAGCCCAGAGGGUGACGGUACCUCCAGAAGAAGCCCCGGCUAACUACGUGCCAGCAGCCGCGGUAA